GGAAUUUCAAGGGUGAGGAAGCUGAGUGAACUGUUUUCUGCUGACAGUAGGUGGUGGAAUGAGGACACUCUCCAAGAGAACUUCUUAACACCAGACAUCUGGGUGAUAAAGAAGACCCCUCUUGGAAAAUUGGACCAGGAUAUGUGGGUGUGAUCCAGAAUUUUAUGCCUAUCAGGGCUAACUUGCACCUCCAUCCCUACGCCCCUUUGAUUACAUUUGCAAUUCAAUAUGCAAAUAAGCUGGAUGCUUGGAUGCCCGUGGGAGGUAACUACAUUUCUUCCGUUGCUGAAAAAGCUGAGGUGAAUUCUAUGACAGUGAGGGUUGAUGAUAGGAGCACAAGUAAUUCUGAUGUCUCCAACUAAAAGUCUAACUGCAGGAGUAUGUAGAAUCUUCUUUACUUAACUAGCUGAUACUCACGGACAUAUCGUGAAGCACAAGCAGCCUUGCAACCACAAACCUUGCAGACUUCUCUUUUCAUAUCCAAACUUUGCAAACAUUUCAUUCAUGUUUUUAAACUUAUUCUGCGUUUAUUUUAGUGCACCAAGAAAAAAUAAA